CAUUUUUCUCUAUUUUGACACCAAUCACAGAUCAAUUAUUUUUCUAUAGUAAUCAUGGCUUCUUCUUGUUUACAUGCCAUUCUUUUAUGCUCUCUUCUUUUCAUUACUUCAAUCACGGCCCAAAACCAAACUUCUUUCCGUCCCAAAGGCCUAAUUCUCCCAAUCACAAAAGAUGCUUCAACUCUCCAAUAUCUCACCCAAAUCCAACAAAGAACACCUCUUGUCCCUGUAAGUUUAACUCUUGAUCUUGGUGGCCAAUUUUUAUGGGUUGACUGUGACCAAGGUUAUGUCUCCUCCUCUUAUAAACCUGCGCGGUGUCGCUCCGCCCAGUGUUCAUUAGCCGGAGCUGGCGGCUGUGGACAAUGCUUUUCUCCACCUAAACCAGGCUGCAAUAAUGACACAUGCGGCCUACUUCCUGAUAACACUGUCACUCGAACCGCCACCAGUGGAGAAUUAGCUUCUGAUACUGUGCAAGUGCAAUCUUCUAAUGGUAAAAAUCCUGGAAGAAAUGUAAGUGACAAAGAUUUUCUUUUCGUUUGUGGCUCUACAUUUCUUUUAGAAGGACUUGCUACUGGUGUUAAAGGUAUGGCUGGUCUUGGUAGGACAAGAAUAUCUCUUCCUUCGCAAUUCUCAGCUGAAUUUAGCUUCCCUAGAAAAUUUGCUGUUUGUUUGAGCUCUUCAACCAACUCAAAGGGUGUUGUACUUUUUGGAGAUGGACCUUAUUCUUUCCUUCCUAAUAGGGAAUUCUCAAAUAAUGAUUUUUCCUACACUCCACUUUUUAUCAAUCCAGUAAGUACAGCUUCAGCUUUUUCCUCAGGAGAACCCUCUUCUGAAUACUUUAUUGGAGUAAAAUCCAUCAAGAUUAACCAAAAAGUUGUCCCAAUAAACACAACUUUGUUGUCAAUUGACAACCAAGGUGUUGGUGGAACUAAGAUUAGCACAGUCAAUCCUUACACCAUUUUGGAAACUUCAAUAUACAAUGCUGUUACAAAUUUCUUUGUCAAGGAACUUGUCAACAUUACUAGAGUUGCAUCCGUGGCACCAUUUGGGGCUUGUUUUGAUUCAAGAAACAUUGUAAGUACAAGAGUUGGACCAGCUGUACCCUCCAUUGAUCUUGUUUUGCAAAAUGAGUGUUUUUUGGACGAUUUUUGGAGCAAACUCGAUGGUACAAGUGAGUGAAAAUGUUUUGUGCCUUGGGUUUGUGGAUGGAGGUGUUAAUACAAGGACUUCUAUUGUGAUUGGAGGAUACACAAUUGAGGAUAAUCUUUUGCAGUUUGAUCUUGCAAGAUCAAGAUUAGGAUUCAUAUCUUCAAUUCUAUUCCGACAAACUACAUGUCCCGAUUUUAACUUCACUUCAAUUGCUUAGGUGGUGUGGACUGAAGUUGUUUGUAUUUUGAUUCUUAAUAAUGGUCUAAGUAUGCCUUUUGAAAUAAUUUGUAAUAAGUGGACCUCUCCUCCUUAAAUAAGAGGUCCUACUUAGCUCGCGUAGUAGUGCGCCAGAUAAGAUUUCAUGUAAUUUGUGCGUUGAAAACUUUGUUAAAUUGGGUGUGGAUAAUGCAUAUACAUUUUUUCAAUUUUUUUU